CCUACGGGAGGCAGCAGUGAGGAAUAUUGGUCAAUGGGCUUAAGCCUGAACCAGCCAAGUCGCGUGAGGGAAGACUGCCCUAUGGGUUGUAAACCUCUUUUGUCAGGGAGCAACGCCGGCUACGUGUAGCUGUACUGAGAGUUCCUGAAGAAAAAGAUCCGGCAACCUCCGUGCCAGCGGCCGCGGUAAUACGAAGGAUGCGAGCGUUAUCCGGAUUUAUUGGGUGUAAAGGGAGCGUAGACGGCAGGACAAGUAGGGAGUGAAAGCCCGGGGCUAAACCCCGGAACUGCUUUUGAAACUGUGCGGCUGGAGUGUAGGAGGGGUAGGCGGAAUGCCUGGUGUAGCGGUGAAAUGCGUAGAGAUUAGGAAGAACACCGGUUGCGAAGGCAGCUUACUGGACUAUAACUGACGUUGAGGCUCGAAAGCGUGGGGAGCAAACAGGAUUAGAUACCCUGGUAGUC
rnacentral:rRNA from 1 species